rnacentral:rRNA from 1 species
CAGGCCUAACACAUGCAAGUCGAGCGGAUGACGGGAGCUUGCUCCUUGAUUCAGCGGCGGACGGGUGAGUAAUGCCUAGGAAUCUGCCUGGUAGUGGGGGACAACGUUUCGAAAGGAACGCUAAUACCGCAUACGUCCUACGGGAGAAAGCAGGGGACCUUCGGGCCUUGCGCUAUCAGAUGAGCCUAGGUCGGAUUAGCUUGUUGGUGAGGUAAUGGCUCACCAAGGCGACGAUCCGUAACUGGUCUGAGAGGAUGAUCAGUCACACUGGAACUGAGACACGGUCCAGACUCCUACGGGAGGCAGCAGUGGGGAAUAUUGGACAAUGGGCGAAAGCCUGAUCCAGCCAUGCCGCGUGUGUGAAGAAGGUCUUCGGAUUGUAAAGCACUUUAAGUUGGGAGGAAGGGUUGUAGAUUAAUACUCUGCAAUUUUGACGUUACCGACAGAAUAAGCACCGGCUAACUCUGUGCCAGCAGCCGCGGUAAU